rnacentral:lncRNA from 1 species
GUGCUCCGGUACUCAACUGCAUCUUGAAGAAUUAUGUUUCCUUGCUUAUCAAUACAAUAAAAAGUACCUAGAAAGAACCUUCCAUCACUUAUACCAACCAGCAUUCGUCGAUGUAGUAGCUUCUUGACAUAAGAAACAUAACUUGAAUUGUUAGCCUCAAACUGAUUUGAGCUUCCAACUUGAGGUGCAUAUAUCUCUGGUUUCAUUUUUGUCCAAUUAAGGGAACUCCAAGUAUUAAUGUUUGAGUUGUGUAACUGCAGCUACCGCAUAUGUUAAAACAGAAAUAGCAUCAACUCUUCCCUGCAAAAACAUAAGACGGGAAAUUAAUCAACUAAGGGGAAAAUAAAUCUCGGGACACAUUUUCACCUUUGACUUCUGAAAACCAAUGAAGAUACAUUACCAGGAGAGAACUCAAAUUAAACUCUAAAACAGUAUAUGUUUUGUUAUUUUCUCAUCCCCUCUGACCAACAACAAAAUUUAAACUUGCAAUCUCACUAGUAAAGAUAUCCAGAAUAAGAUACUUAGGGAAAUAAAAUUAAUCAAUAACAACAACAACCCAGUAAAAUCCCACAAGUGGAGUCUGGGGAGAGUAGCAUGUACACAGACCUUACCCCUACCCCGAAGGAGUAGAAAGGCUGUUUCCG